AUACGUAGGGGGCGAGCGUUGUCCGGAAUUACUGGGCGUAAAGGGAGCGUAGGCGGCCGAUUAAGUUGGAUGUGAAAUCCCCGGGCUUAACUUGGGUGGUGCAUCCAAUACUGGUUGGCUAGAGUACAGGAGAGGAAAGCGGAAUUCCUGGUGUAGCGGUGAAAUGCAUAGAUAUCAGGAGGAACAUCGGUGGCGAAGGCGGCUUUCUGGACUGACACUGACGCUGAGGCUCGAAAGCGUGGGGAGC
rnacentral:rRNA from 1 species